AGCCGUAUGAACAUGGUUCGGCAACAGCCUUCUAAGCUGUGGGUCGCAGGUUCGAAUCCUGC
rnacentral:tRNA from 1 species